CAAAAGGAGAAAAAAAAACUGGCUUUGGCAUUGUUGUCAGAAAAGACAGUAUUUCAGCUUAAUAUCUGAUAACAUGUUGUGGUCAUUUUGGGAUUUAAUACAGUAAAUAUAUUACAUAUUGCACCUUACAUUUAAUGAUGCUACAAUGUUGAA